UACGGGGGGGGCAAGCGUUGUUCGGAAUUACUGGGCGUAAAGGGCUCGUAGGCGGCCAACUAAGUCGGAUGUGAAAUCCCCAAGCUUAACUUGGGAACUGCAUCCGAUACUGGAUGGCUUGAAUCCGGGAGAGGGAUGCAGAAUUCCAGGUGUAGCGGUGAAAUGCGUAGAUAUCUGGAGGAAUACCGGUGGCGAAGGCGGCAUCCUGGACCGACAUUGACGCUGAGGAGCGAAAGCCAGGGGAGCAAACGGG
rnacentral:rRNA from 1 species